rnacentral:lncRNA from 1 species
AAUGGAGGGAGAGAAAAGGAGAGGGAGGCAAGUCAGAGACGAAAAUGAUUGGGUUUUCCAUAACGGACUUUUGGCGUCAGUAAGUUACUGAGUUCGCUGUCUUUUCUUAUUUUUUAUUUUUUAUGUUGUCACCUUCACCAAAGAACCUUAGCUUCCAAAAUCAUCCACACUUUUAGUUCCACCACCACCAUUCAAUGUUUAGAUUGUCUAUACCAAUGCUCGUAGAAAUAUCUAUAAAAUGUCUAACGACAACCUAUGAAGAAUAACAUACUUUUGUAAUAGUGUUAUUUUUAUAAAAUAAUAAUGUCAAAAAUAGAAUACACGGAAAACUAUUAACAAAAAUAAGGUAGCUAAGUUUUUUAUUCGGUUUAGGACUUCAUUAAGUCGUGGACGGAGUACACAUCUCGAGUCUAAAGUAGUCUUGUACCUGGUACACAACUCAACUCACGUGUAUGUCCUGUGUAGCAGUCAACAUUGUCAUGGUGUCCGACAUGGAGGUCAUCGUGAACCAGGUACACUACUUCCAUCUUACAACCUAGUCACAACUCAUUCUGCCUUUCAUCCUUGUAUCACAAAAAUAAAACUCCCCUCUAUCCUCGUCUCCCUCUUGUCGCUAUCAUCAUCCCACCUUUCAUUAUUUAUUGACUAGAAGUUCUAAGGUAUGUUUAGUUUCUCUUCUUUGCAUAUGUUUUAUGUUUAAUAUAAUGUGAAUAUAUUUAUAUGAUUUUGUUAAGUUUAUAGCUUUUGGUUUUUAGAGUGGGAAUGUAUUUUCUUCUUUUUAUAUAUAUUUUUGUUUACAUAGUGUGAAUAUAUUUGUAUUUGUUGAACUUAACUAAUCAUGGAC